UUUCUCUAAGUCUCACAAUUAUGCAUUUACAACUUCUCAAAUCAUAUUAUUCAAGAUUUACUAGAAGCACUAAAAUUAAAGUGAAAUUCAAGUUAACUAUCUACCUCAAACUUUAUCACCCUACAACACAAAAGGUUUACUAAAAUCAACAAAACUAGAAUAUGAUCAAGGGUUCUCUCUAAUAGAAGAGAAGUAAUUUCUAUCCAACUUAUGUCAAAUCAAUUAUGAAAAAAUAAAUAUCUGACCAACAUUCCAGCACCACAAUAUAACCUCUAAAUCUCUAACUCGAUCUAACUCUUAAUCACUAAAAUUUUAAUCCAUCAAAAUGUCCAAUAGCAAAUUUCUUUCGCACAUAUUCAAUAUCUCUAGUAACCAACCAUACUCAAUUGAUUAAUCAUGCAAAAGCUUCAAACUAAAAUAUCCAAAAGAAUUUAAAAGACAUUGUUCUUACCCACUUUCU
rnacentral:lncRNA from 1 species